GCAAUUGCUGAGCUGGUAAGAGUUGCUACCACUGCAGUUAUAACAGUGUCAAAGUGUUUGGAGGAUAUAACUGAUUUAACAGGAAUUAAUAUUAUUUUUCUGAUAGUUCUAACAUUUGAGAUUCUGAUCACCUAGCAAAGGAGCUGGCUGGGAGUGGUGCAAACCAAAAGCCUAGUUUUAUUGCAUUUUUUCACAUUCCCUGUGGCUUCUGUGCAUCCUUUUCUUUCAUUAAACUUCAUGUGACCUUACUUUUUGCAUAGCUUAAAACCUGCAGAAGUAUACGUGUUUCCAUGCCUAAAAAUACCAAACAUUAAAAUAUCUAGAAAAUAUACAAGGGGCAGAAAGUUGUUUCUAAAACAAGAAAACCAGGCUUAUAAUAUAAAUUAUCAUAUGCUAAUUUUUAAUUGGGGAAAAGGUGAUCCAUUUCAAGCAUUUUCUGUAAGUUAUUCACUUGUAAGCAUUAGGGUGUGUUUGAAAAAGGCGUGAUUGAGAAAGGCAGACACUAUGAAACUUUUAAAGUUUUUUACUUUUGUAAAAGUACCACCACUGAGUUUGUGGUACUUCUGGAGAAAAUAUAAUGAAUGUCUUUAUAUAGAGAGAGGUCUAAUCUUUAUAUUCCUUUUCUUCCAACUCACCUCAUCACCUGUGCAUUGAGCAGAGCUUCAUCUACCUUGCACCUUCUGUAAUCUAGAGAGCCACCAUGAUGAAAAAUUCUGAAGGACACAGAAGAAAGCCACCUUCUCUGUGCUUUUCAUUACUUGCUAAUACUCUUGGUAUGUUCUGUGUUCUAACUGGGAAUGUGAAAGUGCCUGGCAUCUAAAAUACAAUCUAAUUGCAGCAUAAUGAAGUAAGAGUAAAACCUUUCUAAGAUAUGCAGAGAUUAUCGUUUUUUCCAUAGUAUACGAAGUUCUUUAAUGUUUUAAGCAAAAGUAGGUGUUAACAAAUCUGUGUGUUUAAUGUAGGUAUGUGGCUGCUAACUGAACUAAAAGCCAAUCUGUGUUUCAGAGCAGUAACUUGAACAGCUUGUUCACCCAAGGUAAUCUCAGUGUCAAAGAAUAUAUUGUGUUUUGCUGUUGGUUUUAGGAGGCAUGCUGAAGUUCUGUCGUUUGGGAGACUGUGCAGUUAAAUCUGCUACUCUGAGCUAAUCCAUGUCCUUUGUUCUUGAUUCAUGUACAUAUCUGCUCCCUAUUAAAACAUUAUCAUUUAUAAGAAUACACCUGUGGUCUCUGAAUUUAUAGAGUUUCUGUUAUUAUCAGGAAGAACAGUGCUUUAAUGUGUUCUUUAGGCUGCAUGAAAGUAUUUUUUCCUUUUUUAGUUCUUUCUUUACCCUGUGACAAUGCAGCAGUCACCCUUCAUCGGUGGGCAUUGUGAAAUGAUGAGGCAGUAUCUUUCUGCAAGGUACACCUUGGUAAGGCCUUGAGGCCACUAUUCCCUUGGCUGAGCAUUUUCUAGAAGCAAAGAGAUGAGAGCUGUUUUGUCCUAUAGCAAUGCACAGAUCUAAAAUGAGGGAGUUAAGGUUUAUUUUCCCUGUCUGCUUUCUCCUAUAAGAGCUUGAUCUUUUUACACUUGCAUCAGUGAAUCUCAGGCGUAAUUCUGGUGAGGUCCGUGAAACUGUAUAACUGUGGUGUAGCUGCUGGUGUAACUGGAGGCAGACACAAUCAAGCAUAAUUCAUAGAAUCACAGAGUGGUUUGAGUUGGAAAGGGCCUUACAGGUCAUCUAGUUCCAGCCUCCCCACGUUGGGCAGGACACCUUUCAUUAGACCAGAUUACUCAGAUCCUCUUCCAACCUGGCCUUGAACACUGUCAAGAUUGAGGCAUCUACCCCUUCUCUGGGAAACCUGUUCCAGUGUUUCACCAUCCUCACAUUAAAUAUUUUCUUCCUAACAUCUAAUAUAAACCUACCUUCUUUCAGUCUGAAGCCAUUCCCCAUGUCCUAUUGCCACAGUUCUCAACAAAGAGUCCCUCUCCAGCUUCCCUGUAUCCUCCUUCAGAUACUGGCACACAUAGUUUAUGGCUACGCGACUCUGCCAGCUUUGUUUGGGAACAGUCCUAACCUGCCUCUGAUGUGGGAAGAAGCUUGAUGAAGCAAAGUGGUUUAUUCACACUGCUGUGCUAGGCACAGCUUUCCUAUUCUCCUGUUGAGCUGAAAGAGGCAGCUCCCUUUCCACUUCAAGUUUGGCUCUCUUUCCACUACGGACCUCAAUUCAUAUGCUUCUCAUUACCAUCCACACAGUUAGUUUAUAAAAUUAAAUUAAAGUAGUAAACAAAAUACCAGAUACUCCUCCUAAAGCUCCAUCUAUAAAUAUCUCCCCUGCCUACUCAUGCUGUCUGAUUAAGAAUCAGUAAGCAGUUAGUUUGAGAACCUAAAGCAGGUCUGAUUCCAUCAAGAUAGGCAGGUUUUUUUGCUUGUUUUUUUUUUUUUUUUUUUAAUUUGUUUAUUUGUUUGUUUUUUUUUUUUAAAUGGAGCUAUUCCAUUUAGCUUCCUGUUUCAUAGGUAAAAAGCCCCAAUAUUCCCCAAAUGCACACUGGCAAUGUUGAAGCCUCCUAUUUUAAGAUUUUCAGAAUUAAAAAGAUUUUUCAUUCUGAAAUAUUUUUUGAUCCAAAAUGGACUAAUAUAACCUGUCCAAAGUGGAUCUUGAAAUACUUGAUUUUUUUUAAUCUCUCAGACUAGCUAAGAGAUACCAUGGUUCUGGCUGUUGGUUCCCAAGAACUGUGAAGACAUUUUUGUUUUAUUUGCUUUGUUAUCAAGUAGUGUUUAUCUAUGUACCAAAUAAACAUGGAAAAAUGAACAGU